rnacentral:lncRNA from 1 species
CUACAGUGACCUCUCGGUGGAACCGCGUGUGGACUCUCCGCUGUGAGCUCCGCCCAGAGCCCGUCCCUGACGCCAGAGAUUCGUCAGACGCCCUCGGGUCCAGCGUGGUGCUGGUUGCUAUGGUGAUCGCGGCCACCGGCCCCGCCAGACAAGGUCGCGCAGCUCCUGGAGCCUUUGCAACCCCCGCGGGACACUCUGGAAGGAUGAGGUCCUCGCUGACAUCUUUGGGGCCGCCUGUGAGCCGGGACCGCAUCAUCACCAGCUUCCCUAAGGUUUUGCAAGAAUGUCUUUGACCGUGACUACAAGGCCACCAUCGGGGUGGACUUUGAAAUCGAGCGCUUCGAGAUCGCUGGGAUUCCCUACAGCCUGCAGAUUGAUCAUCACAGCCUUCGACCUCACUGACGUGCAGACUCUGGAGCACACCAGGCAGUGGCUGGAGGAUGCACUCAGGGAGAACGAGCCGGGCUCCUGCUUCGUGUUCCUCGUUGGAACGAAGAAGGACCUUCUGUCAGGGGCUGCAUGUAAGCAGGCAGAGGUGGAGGCUGUGCGCCUGGCCAACGAGAUGCAGGCUGAGUACUGGUCGGUGUCAGCGAAGACAGGGGAGAACGUGAAGGCGUUCUUCAGCCGUGUAGCUGCCCUGGCAUUCGAGCAGUCGGUUCUGCAAGACUUGGAGAGGAGGAGCAGCACCCGGGCCCAGGUCGGCGACGGAGACCUCAUCCGAAUGGAGGAGAGUCCACCCGAGACCCAGGAGAGCACGCCGUCCUCCAGCCUGGGUUGCUGUUAGCUGGGGCCUGCAUCAGAAGCCUCUACUCCCUGCACACACAUGGGCAGUGCCUCCCAUGACUGUGGAUGGGGUGACAUGAAGCCAUCCGUAGCUGCCCACCCACCAUGCUGAGCCCCAGAGCUCAGCAACUUCUCUUUAGCAGGUUGGGAGCCAGGAAAGGGUGGCACUGGCUGCCCAGGAGCCCCCCUUCACUGCCCCACUGGUGGGCGCACAGUGGUGACCGUCUGGAAGGCCAGUUCCACCCAGAUAGUCACCAGACAUUCCCCCCUGGCCUCGAGAGGCCUCAGAAGUGCAGACACGAGACACUUGUGUCCCACAGCCUGCAUCUCUCAGUCUUGGCACACAUUAGCUGCCCACACAGGCCCUCUGACCACUUUGCCGGGCUGGCCUCAGGAUCCUUCUCUUCUCAGUGGUCUAGGCAAGUCUUUUCUGUUAUUAGCAGGACUUGCAGUUCUCAGUCCCAGAGCCCCAGGCCUCACUGUCCACUGUCCCUCUGCCACAGACUUGUGGGAUCCCGGGUCAGCCUUGCCCCUCCGGAGGAGGAUGGACAAGAGGGUCUCUCAGGCCCCUUCUGGCCCAGGGGUCAGCUUUGGCUCCUCUUUGAUCCUUGUCCUGUUGGUCAGUGGGUGAGGAUGGGCAGAAAAGGCCAUCAUGCCCCUCUGGCCCACCUGGACAAUGAAUUUCCCCAGCUGCCCCUGGGGUACAGUACUGCUGCAUCCCUUGUGCAUGGCGCUGCCCUGCUGUUACUGGCAGUUGUCACGCAGACACUGUUGGGCUGGUAUCUGUGGUUGCCCCCACCGCCCCUCUCUCUGGUCUCCACAGGAAAGGGCCUGGAGAACAAGAAACUCUGCGUGCCUGCCUCUCAGGACCUUUGUGGUGGCCUCCUUGACUCUUUGGAGGACAUCGGAGGCCCUCCGGAGUCUGGCAAGCUCCUCAUCGACACCUCUCCAUCCUGCACAUCCAGGACAGGCAGGCACAACCCAGGCAUGCCCUCCCUAGUGCCCACUCUCUCUCUGCCCUCAGGUUGCUCUUCUAUGGGGGCUUUAACUACCCGCACCUGCCCCUGGCUGGGUGCCCACUCCUCCCCACCCAUCCCAUCCCACAAGCAGGUGGGCACAUCUGGGCAUAUCCUGCCUGCUUCUCAUAAAUGGCGAGCAUUUUGCCAACAGCUGUUCUGGUCAGUGCCCCGAACAGUACCCCAUACGGUGCUGGGCACACUGUGGGUGCCCGCUGCAUAUUCACUGGCUGGCAGCAAUUGCUAAAUGCUGGUUGGGGAAGGACACAUCUUUUUCUGUUCAGUCUCCCUUCACCACAUUUUAGCUGUUGUUUACAGAUAAAAACAAAAAACAAAACAAAACAAAAAAAAAAA